AAAAUUGGCCAACAUCGCAAUCUUCUUCACACAAUUCCUUCAACUGUCUUCAGAAGAGCAGCUAAACAACCGAAACCGGCUAAAAAUGAAAUUGAUCGUCGCUGUCGCUUUCUUGGCCGUGGCCCUCGCCGCUCCUCAAGGAGAUAAAAAGCCCAUCGAAAUUGUGUCAUCCAACAGCGAAAUGAACGCCGACGGCAGCUACUCCUUCGAUUUCGAGUCUGCCGAUGGCACCAAAGUGUCUGAAAGUGGCAGCCAGAAACAAGUUGGACCCAAACCGGAGGAUAUCGGCACCGUGUCCAAGGGCUCCUACUCGUUCACGACUCCCGACGGCGUCGUCCUCACCGUCAAUUGGGUGGCCGAUGAAAACGGAUUCCAGGCCACCGGCGACCACCUCCCCACUCCUCCACCCAUGCCCGAGCACGUCGUCAAGAUCCUCGCGGACCUCAAAACCGCCGGAGUUCUAUAAAUAAUUACACAUUAUAUUAUUUCAACCGGAUGUACAUAACGCUCACAUACCCCAAACUUUGACACAAGUUGGGCUUGAGUCAACAACAAAAUUACAUUAAAACAAACGAGAAAUAAAAAUGUUUUUUCUCCUUUUAAAAUUUCAGGUUAUUUUAUACAAAGUCGUUCCUGGAAAUUCAAAGGCAAUGCGUAUCGUAACACGUUGGACAACGGAAAAAAAUCAUCCUCAGUGGAGUGCGAAAGAAAUGCGGAAUAAAGUUGAAUGAAACCAG
rnacentral:misc_RNA from 1 species